UACAGAGGGUGCAAGCGUUAAUCGGAAUUAUUGGGCGUAAAGCGCAUGUAGGCGGGCAUUUAAGUCGGGUGUGAAAGCCCUGGGCUCAACCUGGGAAUCGCAUUCGAUACUGGAUGUCUAGAGUAUGGUAGAGGAAAGUGGAAUUUCCGGUGUAGCGGUGAAAUGCGUAGAUAUCGGAAGGAACACCAGUGGCGAAGGCGGCUUUCUGGACCAAUACUGACGCUGAGAUGCGAAAGCGUGGGGAGCAAACAGGAUUAGAUACCCUGGUAGUCCACGCUGUAAACGAUGAGAACUGGGCGUUGGGAGGCUUUGUCCUUCUAGUGCCGAAGCUAACGCGUUAAGUUCUCCGCCUGGGGAGUACGGCCGCAAGGCUAAA
rnacentral:rRNA from 1 species